CCUACGGGAGGCAGCAGUGAGGAAUAUUGGUCAAUGGACGCAAGUCUGAACCAGCCAUGUCGCGUGCAGGAAGACGGCUCUAUGAGUUGUAAACUGCUUUUGUACGAGGGUAAACGCAGAUACGCGUAUCUGUCUGAAAGUAUCGUACGAAUAAGCAUCGGCUAACUCCGUGCCAGCAGCCGCGGUAAUACGGAGGAUUCAAGCGUUAUCCGGAUUUAUUGGGUUUAAAGGGUGCGUAGGCGGUCGGAUAAGUUAGAGGUGAAAUCCCGAGGCUCAACUUCGGCAUUGCCUCUGAUACUGGUCGGCUAGAGAGUAGUUGCGGUAGGCGGAAUGUAUGGUGUAGCGGGGAAAUGCUUAGAGAUCAUACAGAACACCGAUUGCGAAGGCAGCUUACCAAGCUACUUCUGACGUUGAGGCACGAAAGCGUGGGGAGCAAACAGGAUUAGAUACCCGGGUAGUC
rnacentral:rRNA from 1 species